GCAGUCGAGGGGUAUAGGUUUUCCGACCUAGAGACCGGCGCACGGGUGCGUAACGCGUAUGCAAUCUACCUUUUACAGAGGGAUAGCCCAGAGAAAUUUGGAUUAAUACCUCAUAGUAUUAUUGAAUGGCAUCAUUUAAUAAUUAAAGUCACAACGGUAAAAGAUGAGCAUGCGUCCCAUUAGCUUGUUGGUAAGGUAACGGCUUACCAAGGCAACGAUGGGUAGGGGUCCUGAGAGGGAGAUCCCCCACACUGGUACUGAGACACGGACCAGACUCCUACGGGAGGCAGCAGUGAGGAAUAUUGGUCAAUGGGCGCAAGCCUGAACCAGCCAUGCCGCGUGCAGGAUGACGGUCCUAUGGAUUGUAAACUGCUUUUGUACAGGAAGAAACAGUUCUACGUGUAGAACCUUGACGGUACUGUAAGAAUAAGGAUCGGCUAACUCCGUGCCAGCAGCCGCGGUAAUACGGAGGAUCCAAGCGUUAUCCGGAAUCAUUGGGUUUAAAGGGUCCGUAGGCGGUUUUGUAAGUCAGUGGUGAAAGCCCAUCGCUCAACGGUGGAACGGCCAUUGAUACUGCAAGACUUGAAUUAUUGGGAAGUAACUAGAAUAUGUAGUGUAGCGGUGAAAUGCUUAGAGAUUACAUGGAAUACCAAUUGCGAAGGCAGGUUACUACCAAUAUAUUGAC
rnacentral:rRNA from 1 species